UCUACGGGCGGCAGCAGUGGGGAAUAUUGGACAAUGGGCGAAAGCCUGAUCCAGCCAUGCCGCGUGUGUGAAGAAGGCCUUCGGGUUGUAAAGCACUUUCAGUGGGGAAGAAAGCCUUGGGGCUAAUACCCUCGAGGAAGGACAUCACCCACAGAAGAAGCACCGGCUAACUCCGUGCCAGCAGCCGCGGUAAUACGGAGGGUGCGAGCGUUAAUCGGAAUUACUGGGCGUAAAGCGCGCGUAGGCGGUCUGAUAAGCCGGUUGUGAAAGCCCCGGGCUCAACCUGGGAACGGCAUCCGGAACUGUCAGGCUAGAGUGCAGGAGAGGAAGGUAGAAUUCCCGGUGUAGCGGUGAAAUGCGUAGAGAUCGGGAGGAAUACCAGUGGCGAAGGCGGCCUUCUGGACUGACACUGACGCUGAGGUGCGAAAGCGUGGGUAGCAAACAGGAUUAGAUACCCUUGUAGUC
rnacentral:rRNA from 1 species